UACGGGGGGAGCAAGCGUUGUUCGGAUUUACUGGGCGUAAAGGGCGCGUAGGCGGUCAGCACAAGUCAGUUGUGAAAUCUCCGGGCUUAACUCGGAAAGGUCAACUGAUACUGUGCGACUAGAGUGCGGAAGGGGCAACUGGAAUUCUCGGUGUAGCGGUGAAAUGCGUAGAUAUCGAGAGGAACACCUGCGGCGAAGGCGGGUUGCUGGGCCGACACUGACGCUGAGGCGCGAAAGCGUGGGGAGCAAACAGG
rnacentral:rRNA from 1 species